rnacentral:rRNA from 1 species
CGGGGCUUAAAGUCUUGUAAUUGGAAUGAUGGGAAUUUAAACCUUUUCCAGAGUAUCAAUUGGAGGGCAAGUCUGGUGCCAGCAGCCGCGGUAAUUCCAGCUCCAAUAGCGUAUAUUAAAAUUGUUGCAGUUAAAAAGCUCGUAGUUGAAUUUCUGCUGCAUCGCUGCGUCCCCUCGGGGUCUCUGCAUGUGGCUUAUUUCAGACGAAGUUUCUUUGUCUGGAUGUUUACUUUGAGAAAAUUAGAGUGCUCAAAGCAGGCCUUUGCCUUGAAUAGUUUAGCAUGGAAUAAUAAAGUAGGACUUUGGUUCUAUUUUGUUGGUUUUAGGUACCAAAGUAAUGGUUAAUAGGAACAGUUGGGGGCAUUCGUAUUUAACUGUCAGAGGUGAAAUUCUUAGAUUUGUUAAAGACGAACUACUGCGAAAGCAUUUGCCAAGGAUGUUUUCAUUAAUCAAGAAC